GGAGCAUCCCUGGCUGCGGCCGCGCCGCUCCCGCUGCCCAUCCCGGCGCUCCCGGGGAUAUUCCCGGGGAUAUUCCCGGUGGGAGCGGGGCGAUAUCCGCCCCCCGGAGGCUCUGCAGAAGGAGGAUGAGGAAGAUGCCGCUCGGCGCACCGGCGGAGCCGCAGCCCCGGGAGGCGCCGGGCGCUGCCGGCGGAGCUGGAGGGUUUGGCAUUCCUGCAGGGACAGCUCCCAUCGGCCCCAGGAGCUGCUGGAACCUCCUUGUGCCAGCGGUGGGGACGCCGGGACAGGAGUGGCACUUGUCCCCUGCGCCAGGGAAAGGCUCCCGAGGCAGGAUUUGGCCCUGGCUGGUUCCUCUGCGCUGGGAUCCCGAGCCCUGAGCCUGCCUGGGGUUUGGAUGCUCCCUUCUGUCUGCAGCUGGGAAUGGCACCGUGCCUCCUGCUCCUCCCAAAUCCUGUGGAUUUACUGCUGUUGGCACCAUCCUGCUGGGACUGGCUCCAGCUUCAGCACAGGGAAUCUCCCGAGGGACAGAUGGGGAAAAGCAGCACUUACUACAGCCUGAGGCUACAAUUCCCUCUUUUUCUGGGCUACUCCGAGCAUCCUGGCUCUGCAGGAGGAAGGAUUCAAUGCAUUCCUGGAGGACAAAUCCUGUUGCUCUGACGCCUCACCAUCGAUUCCGUGCCUCAAGCCCUGCCCUGCUCGAUGCUCCUGGAGGGUUUUUGGUGCCACUCUCCAGAAGGGACCAAGAGCCCCAAAUUCAGUCCCCUCUGAACACCAAAUUCCAGGGUCGUGCCGAAGGCUCGGGGUGAGGGACAGAGGGACAGAGGGACAGAAGGACAGAAGGACAGCCAGGAGCAGCUCCCGAGGACAGGAUGGACACUGCAGCUGGAGCUCAGGGCCAGCAGGGACCAGCAGGGACCAGCAGCUCCCCUGGGCAGCGAUGGAACAUCUGGGCUGGGAGAGGCUCUUCCCUGAGCUCCAGAAGCAAAGCCAGCUCCACAUCUGCUCCUCCCCAGCCUGGCUGGGCUGCACAUCCCUGCAGGAGCUCAGCUCCUCCCACCUGCAGCUGAUGGGACUGAAUAAGCAAUUUUCUGCUGGGCUUUGGGAAUUAUCCUUUGGAUCCUGCCAAUGGAUGGAUGGAUGGUGAAGAGCUCUUGGGCCGAGCAGGAGCUCAGUGCUGUUCUCUGGCAAAGGACCAAGCGCUUGCCUGCUUUCCAGUGGAUUUUUUUUUGGUCUUUAUUUCCUUCUGCUCUUUUUUUCUGCGGCUUUUUGAGGCUUUGGGUGUUUCCUGAGGAUGCUGGAGCUGCAGUGGAUCCCGUGGUGGGAGCUGGAGCCUUUGGAAGAGCAGGAGCUGAGCUGGUGCUGGGCUUUCAGACUGGCAGAGGCUCGUCCUGUGCUGGGUGGCCUCAGGAGGGUCCUUGUGCCACAGCUGGAGCAUCCCAGUGGAUCCCAGUCCAGGUGGGACCAUGGAGCAGGAGCAGGAACGGGGGGAAGCCAAACCCCGGCGAGGGGAAUGUCACAGUGAGGAGAAUGUCACCCUCAGGGACAAUUAAAUUGCGUUUAAUAAACCCCAUUGGCUCUGUGAGUGCUGGAUGUUGUUUUCCAUUUGCCACGUUUCUUUUCCAGGGGGUUUUGGGGAUGCUUUGGGUUGUCCAGGAAACCUUGAGAAACUCCUGUCCUAACAAAGCCAGCCCAGGAGUUUAACACCUUUUUUCUGCAGGAAAGUUCUCCUCUGUCCUUUCCCUCUUCCCUUUCCAGCCUUUAACCACCACUGCCGUCCAAAAGCCACUGAAAUGCAAAUUAUUUCCCCUAAAAUCCUGUUGUUAAUUGCCCCUGGAUUCUGUUCCCUUCUACCCUGUAAGCACCGGAAGGUGCCCUGUGGAAAUAUAAAAGGGAUAUUUAUG
ensembl:lncRNA